rnacentral:ncRNA from 1 species
GGUUAAGCGACUAAGCGUACACGGUGGAUGCCCUGGCAGUCAGAGGCGAUGAAGGACGUGCUAAUCUGCGAAAAGCGUCGGUAAGGUGAUAUGAACCGUUAUAACCGGCGAUGUCCGAAUGGGGAAACCCAGUGUGAUUCGUCACACUAUCGUUAACUGAAUACAUAGGUUAACGAGGCGAACCGGGGGAACUGAAACAUCUAAGUACCCCGAGGAAAAGAAAUCAACCGAGAUUCCCCCAGUAGCGGCGAGCGAACGGGGAGCAGCCCAGAGUCUGAAUCAGCUUGUGUGUUAGUGGAACGGUCUGGAAAGUCCGACGGUACAGGGUGAUAGUCCCGUACACCAAAAUGCACAGGUUGUGAACUCGAAGAGUAGGGCGGGACACGUGGUAUCCUGUCUGAAUAUGGGGGGACCAUCCUCCAAGGCUAAAUACUCCUGACUGACCGAUAGUGAACCAGUACCGUGAGGGAAAGGCGAAAAGAACCCCGGCGAGGGGAGUGAAAAAGAACCUGAAACCGUGUACGUACAAGCAGUGGGAGCACCUUCGGGUGUGACUGCGUACCUUUGUAUAAUGGGUCAGCGACUUAUAUUCUGUAGCAAGGUUAACCGUAUAGGGGAGCCGCAGGGAAACCA